rnacentral:rRNA from 1 species
UCACCCCCCCUAGCUUUUUCCGCCUAUAUACCACCGUCGCCAGCUUACCCUGUGAAGGACUAAUAGUAAGCACAAUCGGCACAGCCCAAAACGUCAGGUCGAGGUGUAGUGCAUGGGAGGGGAAGAAAUGGGCUACAUUCGCUGUCACCAGCGAACACGAAUAAUACAUUGAAACAUGUAAUUGAAGGAGGAUUUAGCAGUAAGCAGAAAGUAGAGCGUUCCGCUGAAGCCGGCUCUUAAGCGCGCACACACCGCCCGUCACCCUCCCCGAGCAACUGGACCUAAAUUUUUCUUUAAACCCCUACAACCGCGAAGGAGAGGAAAGUCGUAACAUGGUAAGCGUACCGGAAGGUGCGCUUGGUCAAAU